ACCGCCUCUCUACCAAACACUUACAAGUACUAUUUAUUGUGAGUGCAUGGAAGAGGCGAAUAGAAAACGGCACCGCUGUCCACCCCUUCAAUCAUCAUGGGUUGCGGGCACUUUACCUCGGUCGACAUUU
rnacentral:snoRNA from 1 species